rnacentral:misc_RNA from 1 species
UAUACAUCUUAUGGGAGACCUUGUUAACUCUGCAAUUGCUUAAAACUCCCCCACUGCUUUGCCGUUUCAGUACAAACUCUGUUGCAACUGCUAUAUAAUUCUGAAUCUGUGAAGGUAUAAUGUAUAUCCUCUUGCUCUCAACCCUUUUUCUCAGUUUUUAUAUUUCAUUGUCUCUUUCUCAAAUCCAAUUGUCGGAAAUUGCUUUGCAUAUUCUUCCACCUCCUUGCGCAGCUCUGCAAUCUCAGACUGGAUACUAGCAUUCGUCUGGAUAGUAGCCGUGAAGUCUUUCAAUUUUGUCCCACCUGUGGUUUCAGCCUUUACUUUCAGUGCCAGUUUAACAGCAACGUCAAAGAAGUCCGCAACUUUUGCGAAGUCCUCUUCAAUAAAUCCCCUCGAUGUAAGGGCCGGAGUCCCCAUUCUGAUGCCUCCAGGGAUCAUGGCAGACACGUCGCCUGGAACUGUAUUUUUAUUAGCGGCAAUGUGGACCAACUCCAAGACCUUUUCG